AGUCACGCUGUAAACGAUGUCGAUUUGGAGGUUGUUCCCUUGAGGAGUGGCUUCCGGAGCUAACGCGUUAAAUCGACCGCCUGGGGAGUACGGCCGCAAGGUUAAAACUCAAAUGAAUUGACAGGGGCCCGCACAAGCGGUGGAGCAUGUGGUUUAAUUCGAUGCAACGCGAAGAACCUUACCUACUCUUGACAUCCAGAGAAUUUAGCAGAGAUGCUUUAGUGCCUUCGGGAACUCUGAGACAGGUGCUGCAUGGCUGUCGUCAGCUCGUGUUGUGAAAUGUUGGGUUAAGUCCCGCAACGAGCGCAACCCUUAUCCUUUGUUGCCAGCACGUUAUGGUGGGAACUCAAAGGAGACUGCUGGUGAUAAACCGGAGGAAGGUGGGGAUGACGUCAAGUCAUCAUGGCCCUUACGAGUAGGGCUACACACGUGCUACAAUGGCGUAUACAAAGAGAAGCGACCUCGCGAGAGCAAGCGGAACUCAUAAAGUACGUCGUAGUCCGGAUUGGAGUCUGCAACUCGACUCCAUGAAGUCGGAAUCGCUAGUAAUCGUAGAUCAGAAUGCUACGGUGAAUACGUUCCCGGGCCUUGUACACACCGCCCGUCACACCAUGGGAGUGGGUUGCAAAAGAAGUAGGUAGCUUAACCUUCGGGAGGGCGCUUACCACUUUGUGAUUCAUGACUGGGGUGAAGUCGUAACAAGGUAACCA
rnacentral:rRNA from 1 species